rnacentral:rRNA from 1 species
GGAUUACGACUGAACGCCUCUAAGUCGGAAUCCAUGCUGGCUAAGCAGUGUUGCCCACCGCUCUCAUUGCGACAUGCCAAAAAAUAAGCUUUGGCUCUGACGCAUUCUAGUCCCAACUGCCGAUAAAGGUUCUGGGGCGCAUGAAAAUUUCACGCAUUGGGAGCGAUAGACCUUUUGUAGACGACUUAAUUGAAUCCAGGUAUUGUAAGUGCU